CCUUCCAAAGAGAGAGGGGAAAAACCAAUGAAGAACCACCACCCUUUUUAAUGAAAACUUAGAGCUCCACACUCUGCUGCUGCUGGGAAUACCAAACGAGAGCUGCCCCCAUGUUUUAUAUAUAAUGGUAGAGUGUACAUAAUGAAGGGGUAGGAAGAAAGACCAUGCCUCUGCCAAAGGAAGGGAAGACCUUAUUGUGUCAACCUCACUCCCAUCAACUCACAACAUUAGGUGGUGGGGUUAGGUGAACCAUAUCUUCACAAUUUUCCUAGUUAAUUUUCUUCUUUUCUCUUUACUUCCACUCAACGUUGCUUCAAGAACUGCAAGAACACAAGUAGAGGCUCUUGUAAGAUGGAAGAACGCCUUAUCAUCUCAUGAGUCUCUCGAUUCAUGGGCGUUCAAAAAUCUCACGGAUCAUUGUAGAUGGAAGGGCAUUGUGUGUAACCCCGGGGGGUUGAUUUCUGAGAUAAACUUAUCUGGUGCAAACCUCACUGGCACUCUUGACCAACUCGGCUUUGGUUCAUUUCCAAAUCUAACAAGUCUCAACCUCAACUGUAACAAUUUUAGUGGGUCGAUUCCAUCUGCGAUAGGAAGUCUUUUCAAGCUCACAUUCUUGGACCUCAGCAACAAUUUGUUUAGGGGCAUCAUUCCAGCUGAGAUUGGGAAUUUGAAAGACCUUAGGUCCAUUAGUUUCUACAACAACAGUUUCACAAGUCAAGUUCCAUAUCAAAUUAGUGAUCUUCAAAAGCCAGAGUACUUGGAUUUUGGGUUAAAUUUUUUGAAAUCUCCCAAAUGGUCUAAAGUUCCGAGCUUCCCUUAUUUGACGCACUUCAGUUUCUCCUUCAAUCCAAUUUUUGAAUUCCCUGGUUUCAUACUCUAUUGUCGGAACCUUACUUAUCUUGAUUUGUCAGAAACCCUUUUGAGUGGCCAAAUCCCGGAAUCAUUAUUCAUUAAUCUAGGAAAGCUUGAAUAUCUUAACCUUACCCGUAAUUCAUUUCGAGGGCCAUUGUCAUUAAAUCUAGCUAAGCUAUCGAAGUUGAAAGAUCUUCGCUUAGCAAAGAACUACUUGUCUGGUUCAGUCCCUGAUAUCUUCAGUUUGAUGCCCAAGUUGCAAAUCCUUGAACUCUUUAGCAAUUCAUUUCAAGGAAAUAUCCCAUCCUCUUUAGGCAAACUGAGGAAUCUUCAACGCCUAGACCUCCGUCUCAAUCGCCUGAAUUCCAUUAUUCCUUCUGAGCUUGGCCUAUGCACGGAUCUUACCUACUUGGAUUUUUCCCUAAAUUCACUCAUGGGAUCCUUGCCUUUGUCCUUGACCAAUCUGACCAAUUUAUCAUGGUUCGAUGUGUCUUACAAUAAUAUUUCAGGCCGUAUAUCACCUUAUCUUUUCUCAAACUGGAGUCAAUUAACGUCAUUGCGGGUUCACUCUAAUAGAUUUACUGGGAAAAUUCCAUCUGAAAUUGUUUAUAUGACAAAUCUCAAUCAUCUUUUUCUGUCCAAUAAUUCAUUUUCAGGGUCUAUACCACCGGAAAUAGGAAGGUUGCAUAAUCUGAUUAGCCUAGACCUUUCAGACAAUUUGAUAUCAGGUUCGAUACCUCCAACAAUCGGGAAUCUAACAAAACUGGAAUUGCUGAACCUUUUCUUCAACAAUCUAACUGGAACAGUUCCAAUAGAGAUUGGAAAUUUGAGGCCACUGAAGAUUCUCGAUCUCAAUACAAACCUAUUAAGUGGGCAUCUACCAGAGUCCAUCUCGAACCUUUGUAGCUUGAGCGUUUUUUCUCUGGCCUUCAAUAAUAUUUCAGGCAACUUCCCAUCGUUCAAUUGCAGUUUAAGUUUCCUUGAACAUCUUUAUCUGGCUAAUAAUAGGUUGGAAGGGACAGUUUCGAAAUUUUUAGGAAACUUUAGCAACAGUGGAUGUAAACUGAAGGCCUUCAACUCAAAUGGCAAUCGAUUUGAAGGAACGUUACCCCAUACCUUGGUUAAUUGUAGGCUACUCGAAGUAAUAGAUGUUGGAAACAAUGACAUAAGUGGUUCAUUCCCCUUUUGGACAGAAAGUCUUCCAAACCUUCGAGUUCUUGUAUUGAGUUCCAACAGAUUCCAUGGUACGAUAUCUGCUUCAAAGGCAACAGUUCCCUUUCCUAAGCUGCAAAUUUUCGACCUCUCCCAAAAUGAGUUCAUUGGACUUGUACCAACUAAAUAUUUAUUGCAAUUCAAAGCCAUGAUGAAUCGGACUGAAAAUGAAGAGAGAGGAUACUACAAAGAUCCUUUUUCAAUAGUGCGGAAAGGGGUUGAGUUUCCGUCAGUGAGAAUUUUGAGAGCCUAUACAGCCAUUGAUCUAUCCAACAACAAAUUUGGAGGAGAGAUUCCAAGUUCUAUAGGAAAGCUUAAGCUGCUACGAUCUUUAAACUUAUCUUACAACAGCUUCACAGGUUAUAUCCCUUCAUCACUACAAAAUUUGACUUUACUCGACUCGCUAGACCUUCGCUCAAACCAAUUGGUGGGAGAAAUUCCAAGGCAAUUAACAAGGUUGACAUUUUUGGCAGUCUUUAACGUUUCACACAAUCAUCUUGCUGGGCCGAUACCUCUGCAAGGGCAGCUACUUACGUUUGAUAAUAGUUCAUAUGUUGGCAACACAAAAUUGUGUGGAUUCCCAUUGACAAAGAUGUGUAGAGAUGAGUCAAAUGACAGAAAAGAGCAACCGAAGCUUUCAAUGUUGCCACAAGAAGAUAACUUUUUAGAUGGAUUUACCUGGCAAGUUGUCCUUCUGGGGUACGGAUGUGGAACGUUAAUUGGUUUGGUUGCAGGAUGUUUAAUCUUUAAAUAUGAAAAACCUAAAUGGCUUAUAGAAUUUGUUUUUGGAUUUUACACAAAAUAAAGGAAUCCACAAAAGGAAGGCAGAUCAAAGGUAACUUAAGUAAAGUUUGCUGCAUAAGUCCUUGUAAAUUUUACAUAUAUUUCCUCUGUCCCAUAAAGAUAUAUUUGCUUUCUUUUUUUGUCUAUCCCAAAUUAUAGACAACAUUUCUUGUUGAGGGUAUAGUUGAUUUUUUAUUUUCUAAUAUAUCUUUAUUUAAUGUACUUUGUUAUCGAUAAAUAUGAACGACGUCCAUUUAAAUCAUUAAUUGAUGUUGGAGUAUAUUAAAGAAAGGUAAGAAAAAUUUAUGUUUCCUGAUUAGUGUAGUUUCUACACUUAUUUGAGAUCCUAAAAGAUGAUGUUUUACUGUUCUUUGAAUAAAAUACUACCUAAAUUGUGUGAUAUUAUUACAUUUUGUGAGUAAAACUCGAUGUUUGAUGAGGAAUUGGAGAAAGAAAUGCAAAAAAUAGUGAAAAAUGGGCAAAAUCCGAAAUUUGGGGACUAAAUUACAAACAAUUCAUAGAUGAGAUGAACGAUGAAUUGAAGAUCAAAGAUUUCAAGAAUUUAAAAUGAAUACAAUUGGAAGAUAAAUGAAAAAUAUUACAAGAGAAAAAGGCUGAAAUGGAGGAAAUUCAAAGUUCUCAGAAUAGAGUGAAAAUACUCAAAAGUUGUGUCGAACCUCACAAUGAAGAUUCGAGAGUGUUAGGAUUUGACAUAGCAAACAUUCGAAUUGAAAUAAUGAUAUCAAUUUAAGAAUUGUAACUCUUUGAGUUAGCUUUCCAAUGUACUUUGAAUCACUUCAGUUGGAUAUCGGGAGAGAAAGAUAUAACCAAAUUAUUGAAAGCUGUCUAGUGCGAAAAUAUUAUACCUAUGCGGUCGCAUAGGUUUGAUUAGAUGCAAUCGCAUCUAUACCUCUAGAGCUCUUGGGACCAGCUAUGUUUUAUUUGUGUUGUUGCUUCCAUUUGUACUUUGCGACCGCAUAACACUUUUUCGAGGCGAGAUUUUGUUUCUUUCUCGAAUUGAAAUUCUACUUUGGUAAUAAUUUUUUGGGCAUCCUAUUAAUACCAUAAUCCAUCCAGAACAUAGAGAGACCUUCCUAGACCUAAAAAUUCAUAGAUUCAACAUAUUUUGGAAACGAAGAUCGUGGCUAGAUCAUCAACAUCAAGGGAAUUGUGCAAGAUUCUUGAAGAUUAUCUAUUCAAAAUCAAGAUUUCAUUCAAGAAAAUUUAUUUUUCUACCUUCUUCCAUAUUUCUUCGAUUCGGGUGAUGUUAUUUUAUUAUUUCUUGUAUAAAAUAAUAUUUAGGAUGGUUGGAUAUAUUUUUCCUUUAUAUUGGAUAAAUGAUGAACCUUAUUGUUUGUUUAUUUUAAUUCAAGACAAAUAAUUUCGUAUUUCUUGAUUGGUUGAUCACCAAUUAAAUAAUAACCGCUUAUAGUAAUGUAGGAGUACUCAUAAUCAAUUAACAGAAUUCACAAAUAAGCAACCAAGCAAUAACCAUGCAUAAACCGGUAAGGAUACCAAACCUAACCUAACGGAGAGUUUGGAAUAAUCUUACCAAACUACUGUUGACAAACAGUAAAUAUACCACCAAGUUUCUGAACCAAAUUGCCGUGGACGUCAAGGUAGGGGCAAAAUCGUCCAACUUUUUCUGUAAAAUCUGAAACAAAAAACAAACGACAUCAGUGCGUUCAGGACGUCAAAAUAAGUAAACUGCCCGAAAAAAGCUCGCCGGAGCCACGCGCCGCCGCCGGUCACGCGCCCCACUACAGGGUGCGCCUCCUCCUGCUGGUCAUGGUUCCAUGGUCCAUUUCGCCGGAAAGUCAAUAGAUUGGCCGAAAAUCAAGUUUUCAGAUUCGGUCAGAAAGUGGAUAAUGAUACCUUUCAUCCCACAAAAAUACUUCUGUGGAGUCAUUCAAAUGGGAUUCACUGAAACUCAGGUGCGAACAUAUCUGGUACAUAGUAUUGGACAAUAUCAUUUGAUCCCGUCCAGUACUGUAUGUUGGGGAUCCUAGGAGUUCAAACAACCAAAAACAACAAUCAAUAAACAAGAUUCAAGUCAAAAAAACAAGAAAAACGGGAAUGGAAAAAUACAACCCUUUUUCAGCCGAUUUCUGUCCAGCUUUCCUUCCUCCUUUGGGCAGCUUCUUCUUCGAUUUAUGGGUAUUUUUCUAGGCUCAGGAACAGCCCCAUGUUAUGCCAAUUGCCUUCCAAAGAGAGAGGGGAAAAAAUCAAUGAAGAACCACCACCCUUUUUAAUGAAAACUUAGAGCUCCACACUCUGCUGCUGCUGGGAAUUCCAAACGAGAGCUGCCCCCAUGUUUUAUAUAUAAUGGUAGAGUGUACAUAAUGAAGGGGUAGGAAGAAAGACCAUGCCUCUGCCAAAGGAAGGGAAGACCUUAUUGUGUCAACCUCACUCCCAUCAACUCACAACAUUAGGUGGUGGGGUUAGGUGAACCAUAUCUUCACA
rnacentral:lncRNA from 1 species